UCUGCAUAGCUGGAGGGUCACUGUAGAACACCCACGGGAAUGUCCCCUGGGGGCGGCUCUCUAAUGGAGCAAGAAGAGGUGACCGUGAACACAGUGGUUCAUGGGGUCUGGGGUCCUGCCCUCUUGUUCUGAGUCUUGCUUGCCUAACCAGUGAGACUAACUGAGGACUGGUGGUAGCCCAGGGGAGCAGAGCAGAUGCAGGAGAGUCCUUGCCCAGCUUGUCUCAGGUCUGGAUUUGGUCUCCAGCAUAGAGAUGGGCAGCAGCGCUGGAGGUGAGAGCCAGGACCUUCUGCAGGCUAGGCAGAUACUGGACCUGGGCCGCAGAUGCUGGGCCACAGAGCUGCGUUCUCUGCCUGGAAACCACGUGAGCCAUUUCUGUACCUGUGGGUGAGAGUCCCUAAGAGAACGCAUAAGGCAUUUCGGACACCAUCUAUGGAGGUUCUGGAUAUGGGCCCUGAUUCUACUCAUCUAAUUAAACAAAGCCCUGCAAGCAGUGCUAAUGAAGCGGAAGCCACGAAAUGUCCUCUCGCCUGAUCCUAGUUGAUGCGUCUGUAGCUGGACUCAUGAUUGCAGGCCGCAUUCCAAGUUACCACCCUGGUCCCCGGAGAGACUGACUGCGUGACCAGUGAGGGAGACCCUGAGACUGAGCCCUCGCCAGCCCUGCCAAAGGCCCUGCCCUGAACUGACAAUCAGCUGAUGACCUCAUCGGGGCUAAGUCCAGGGGUUGCCCCAUCAAUGGACACACACUUUGCUUUGUUCUCUGUCCCAGAUCUCAACAAAGUGUCAAGUCGCUGCCUUUGCUGAAGCCUCUGGAAAAAUUCCAGGUCAAGGACACCAAUAUUUACCACCUCUCUGCUGGGGCUGGGCAGGCUGAGGGCAGAGUUACUGUGCCAGCUUGUGGCGCCCCCUAGCUGUUCCUCCCUGUCCUGCAUCAUGAGGAUGUUCAGCUACCGUGAGCUGACGUGAGCCUCCUUCCCACCCCUCCCCCUAUAUCCUUAGUCACCUCUCAUCCGUGUGGGCCCUGAAUCCGGCUUAGAUGGCAGGCUCUGGGUCUCUCUCCUGCAUCAUGCGUGAGCAUCCGACGAGGGUUGGGGCACAGCUGCACUCCUUUCAGGCCCAGGGAAUGCUGCCCUGCCUCCUCAUCCUCAGAACCACCUGCCACUAUCCCAGCUGUCUCUGAUCCCUUGCUACAGCUGCGGAUCUGCCAAGGGCAGCAUCUAAGUCAACCUGGAGGCCUGGGAGCGGGAAUUCCAGGCUACUAGACAUUCUUUUCUCCUUAACCUUGACCGUUUUCGGCACGGUCAAACCUGUCUUCCUUCCCUCUGCCAGCUGCCUAGCCACCCUGUUUGCUGAGCACGAGGUUGGAAAGAGGACUCUUCCUUGACCGCAGUUUCUCUCCUCCCUACCCUUUGUUCUUCCAAUACAGGGACCUUGCUGAAGCUCUCGGAUUGGAUCUCCUGCCCAGAGCAUAAAUAUCCAUCUCUGUCCAGUUUGUUCCACAGGAUGAGGGGCUGGCCCAGUUAGCUCUGGCAUCUCUUGGAGUUGUCAUGUUGAAUAGUAGCUACUAUAAGGGCCUAGGAUGUCUGAGAUGAUCUCCCCUCCACUCACCCCUGACUCUGUUAACUGAGAGAGAACCCCACACUUAACCCUAGAAGACUACAAAGGAGAAGAGGAGAUAGAUCUGGGGACAUGCCCCUAAGCCCUCUUUAAGAAAGGACAAACAGUGCAUGCCUUUAAUCCCAGCACUUGGGAGGCAGAGGCAGACGGAUCUCUAAGAGUUCAAGGCCAGCCUGCUCUACAAGAGUUAGUUCCAGGACAGGCUCCAAAGCUAUAGAGAAACCCUGUCUCAAAAAUAAAUAAAUAAAUAAACAAAUAAAUAAAUGAAGGAAGGAAGACAAACUGUUCAACUUCAGGGUGGGCAAAUAUCCUUGCUCACAGUCACGUGCUUGCUGAGACAGCCCACAGGUCCUGACAGAGUGAGGAAGGAAGACCAAAGCUGACCCAUCUGGGCCCAGUCCAGACUCAUCUAUGUAGGCGACUUGUACCCUAGAUCCUACACUUGAAGACGCUAAGCCUGAAUCACGGUUCAUUUGCUCCCUCCACACAAGCUACCGCUCUACACCUCAGUCCUCAAAUCCCAGUGAACCUGGCCUACAAGGGUGCUCUGAGACGCACCCUGCCCUCAAAUGACUGGUUGUUAUAGACUGAAAGUCUGUACAUGACUCAAAACUCAUCUGCUAAGGCCCCCCCCUUCCCCCUAGUGUGGUGGUGUGUAGCGUGGAGCCUCCGGGCAGAUGAUGAUAUGGAACAUCUGUGAUAACAUUAGUGCCCUCAGAAGAAGACAGAGAGUUCAGCAAUGCCUCUGUUGUGUGCACAGAAAACACUUAGCGCUAACACAUGCAACUAUAAGGCAAGAAAGCCCUCCCCAGACAGCCAGUCUGCUGUGUCCUGGAUCUUGGACUCCCCGGUCUCUAAAGUGUACCAUGUUUCAGUGCCCUAGUCUGUGGUAAGUGCUAUCAGCCAGGCUGACGGAGUCGCUGGUGUUCUGUGCUCGCAUGGUGCUGGAGCCCCUCUGAAUGCGGGAGAACUUUACAUGACGUCAGCCCAGAGCUGCACCUGGGAAUUAGUCAGGCAUUGCUGCCUGGCCAGACCUCAGAGUUCUCCCGCAAGCAUGAGAUGCUAGCAAGUCACAGUUUCUGUUUGCAUGUGAACUGAGUUCCUGUUGAGAAAGAGAAGCAGCCAGUGGUGUGUCCUAAGUUCACAGAGUGGCGUCAAUGGCUAGUUCCAAGAGCAAAGAACCACAGGGCUGCUUACCUAAGGAUUCUCAGCCCAGAGCAAAGGACAGCAGCUCCCAUUCUGGUACCGGAAAGACAUUUCAAGACGUCUCAGGCACAGGAGAUACAACGAGUCUGACUUCCUUUACUUACCAAUGAUUUUCCAUAUGCUCGGUUCCCACACAGAUUCGAAGCUUUGGGCUCAGGAAUGCCCACUGUGAAAUUGAACAGAAGAGGUAUUACUCAGCUGUACUCUGAGUUCUGCCUCCCUCUGCUUCUGAAUCAAUGAUCUCACUAGCCGUCCAGUCAUAGAGGGACGUUCUCAGGUCCUUCGUACCAAGCGGCAAAGUCCUGCAGGGCUGGCCAGGCAAUGCUAACUGCCGAGUGGGGUCACCCCUACCCCUGCCACUCUCCCAGGAAAUGGAACUAAGGUCAAUGUAGUUCAACGACCAUGAUAAGCGUGUCAUGGCGGUGGGGAUGCUCGGAGUGGAGGAGGCUGCACGCCUGCAGGCAGAAGCCAGAGCUAGGGAAUCUGUGUACUUUCAGCUCCGUUUUGCUGUGACCCUCAAACGGCUCGGGAAAAACUAAGUCAACUGAACAAGAACAUUUAGCACUGCGUCUGCAGGCGGUAGGUACUCAUUGAGUGGCUUCAGCACUUACUUCCUCCUUUCCUGAGCUCUCAGCUCACAAGAAAUUAGUUCAAGAAAUGAGCUCCAUUAUUAUGCCAUGCACAUGUGAUUCUUACCGGUCCUCCCCCACUUCCCUCCCCAGUCCUCUCUGUCUUCCUGCUGGUCUCCUCCCCUCCCUCAGCCCAGUCUUGUCUGCUUCCACCUCACAAGUAUUUUCUUAUCCUCCCCUCUCCCAGAUCUCUGUUUUCCCCUCAUGUCCUCUUUUCUAAUUCCAGCACACACCUGCCUAUGUAAAGUAAAUCUUAGGAUCUCAGAGAUGGCUCAGUUGGUAAAAGCCCCUGCAAUGCAGACCUGAUGGCCUGAGUUUGGGAGUCAGGAACCCAUGUGAUACUGAAGAUCUGUGCAUUUUGUAGGCAGUCUUAGACUGGACGCCCAAAGACCAAUCAAACAACAUUUAAUCAUAGCAACUGAGUUUAAAUGGUUGCCUACGGCUUGCUGACUAGUUGGGCUGGACACUAGUUAAAUGGGAGCCAACCGACUGGUUGAUUGACUGGGUUGUAGCCAAGUAGGUUGUUUUCCGUGCUUUGUUGUAGAUUCCACUUUGUUUCCUGUCGACACUGCCUACCAGCGGUGCUGGUUACAGCGAGGAACCUGCUCUGGGAGUCAUCUAGUUCCUGAAUCCCUUUUCCCAUGACUUAACACAAAAGCACGUGCUACUAAACUCAGUUGGUCUAGGAGAAUGCCCUUUUAACCCCACCAAGAUCAGCCCACAGCGAGCGGUGCCCUUGAAUUAGCAGUAACAGCAGCUCACUUUCAAAGGAUGCCAGGCCUUGUGCUGAGCGUCAACUGCAUCAAAGUGGCUGACCUUACUCCCUGCAGGCCCCACAUUCAUAGCUAAGAAGUAUUGCAAAAUAUUGCAUUUGCAGAGCUGAGAAUGUAGUCCAGUGGCAGGGGGCUUGCUCGGCACAGGCAAGACCGUGGCUUCCAUCCCCAGCAUUGAGCCAACAACGUGAUGAAGUUGCAUUUGUGUAGCAAAGCAUGCUAACGCACACAUGGAAUUCGAACCAUGGGAAGCAGGAGUUCAAAGAAAAGUGAAUCUGAGGCACAACUUGGAUCAUGCGUGCCUGUGUUAAAAAACAAAAUAAGAAAAGCCAACCUUGUACUGAACAAGCACAUACUUAUUCUCCUUGUUGUCCUUGCCUAAACAAUACAGCAUAACAAGUGUUUUCAUAAUAUUUGUAUCAUAUGAGGUAUUUACCUAACUCUCUGUAGAUGAGUCAAAGUGGAGAGAAAGACAGAUGUGUACAGGUUACAUGCAACCAUUACGCCAUUCUAUAUAAGCAUGGUGCUGUUUGGCAUCUUAAGUGGGUCCUGGAACCAACUGUGCCUGACCUGGAGACGGCUGCAUCUCAUUUAAUCCUUCCUGUCACUUUAAGAGGGAGGACCCCGAUGGUCGGCACAUUUCAGUUGGGGGAAGUAAGGCUUUAGUGACGCAUAACCAUUCAUCUGAAGGCAGACAGGGUGGGUGACAUGUCUCCUAUGUUCUCAGGCAUUUGAAUGCUUGGUCCCCAGUUGGUAUACCUAUUUGUGUAGGCUGAGGAGGUGUGGCCUUGCUGGAAGAGGUCUAUCACUGGGGUCUGGUUCUGAGAGGUUAAAGACUUGUGUACUGUCAAGUUCACUCUGCUUCCUGUUUUCAGUUUGAGAUGUGAGCUUUCAGCUGCUGUUCCAGGCACCAUGUUUGCAGUCUGCAGCCUUGCCGUCCUUGUUAGUAUGGUCACUAGCCCUCUGGAAUUGUACACCUAAAAUGAACCCUUCCUUGUGUAAGUUGCCUUGGUCGUGGUGUUCUAUUGCAGUAAUAGAAAGGCACCAAAGCACUAGGUAAAGAUAGUUUCAGGAAGUGUUAGCCUCUUGUAGACCUGGGGAAGCUUGGUCCCAACUCAGGAGGAGGUGGAGCUUUGCACCCAGAGAGGGAACAAUAGUGAAGGUUCAGGGAAACAGAAUGGAAGGGGCCAUCAGGGAAUUAUCCCGCAGCUCAGGGCUGUUCUACCUCACAGAAUGGUAAGGACAGGAGUGUCACAGGAGGUGGCCAUGGAACUCAUUAUGACUUGGAGGAACUUUGUAGGGAGGGCUUGGGGGCAGAGGCCUUUCACUGGCCUUGUCUACAUAUGUGAGACGUUGCGGGUCUGAGCCAGGAAGCUUGAGAAUAAAAGACUGACUUGGGCAGUACACGAUGACAGCAACUACCUACAAAGUUAUGACAGCAGCUAAGCAUGGUAGUGCACUCAUAAUCCUGGCUCUUGGGAUACUGAGGCAGGAGGACCAUGAGUUUGAAUUCAGUUUGGGCUACACUAUGAAAUGCUGUCUUUUAAAGACCACAAAAGCGAUGCUUAAAACUACACAAGGGAAGUGGCGCUGACCAGAACAUAAGGAGACUGGAAAUUGUAUGCUGGCUCUGUGGUUGCCAAGGAAUGUCACCUUGCACAGGUCAAACAAUUCCUACAGCAUUGGUUUUUCUGUUCUGUGAAUUGGAGCAGGGUGACUGCAGAGGUCAAAUGGAAGUGUUAGAAGGGUCACAAUCUACUUGACCUUGGUUCUCUCUCUCUCUCUCUCUCUCUCUCUCGUGUGUAUGUGUGUGCAUAAAACACAGAUUGCUAUGCCUUAACCCUGGAAAUUCUAGUCAAAUAAAAUGUGCUUUUCCAACAUAUUUCUGGGUGCUGCUCCUGGGAUCCCACUUUGGAUAUCUCUGUAGUAACCUCUCUCUAAAACCUUGCUGCUCAAUCUGUUGACCCUGUAGUUACAAAAGCAGCACCAUCUGGGUGUGUCAGUAAUGAAGCCUCAGGAUCCAUAGGUGGACUAGCAUCCUUCUGAAUUCAACCCUGCAUCCGGGAAAGGCCUCUCGUUGAUAAUUGUGUACACAGUAAUUCAAGAGGUAUGGCUUUUAAAUUGGCUUUAUGAUUUUUGGAGCAAAGAGGAAUAUUCUGCCUAUUUUUUCUUUCCACACAUGCACACCCUCCCACUCACCUAUACAUAGACACAGAGAAGAAUCUAUCUCCUCUUAAUUUGCAAGGCAGAUUGUGACUUUUCUAAUGCUUCCCUUCUAUUUACAUGUAUGCAAUCAAACUUAACUGAGGGCAUAGCUUGGUUUAUAUGAUCUUGUACCAUCGAUCAUGAGUGCAGGGUGAGACAAAGAAACCUAGUCUGACACCUAAGAAAAGCAAUAACUGAAAAAAACAACAAAACUUGGAAGAAAACAUCAAGAAAGGGCCUGGAAUGGGAAAAGAUGAAGGAACACAGUCAGUAGAGACUCAUGUCAGGUCCUGUAAAAUACAAAACUGCUAAUGCCCAAAUCUUUGACAACAUUUUGGAUUUUCUUGUGUGUAUGUGUGUAUACAGGUGUGUGUUCAUAUCAGUGUAUGUGAAUGCAUAAAAUGAAGGGGGUGCAUGUGGAAGCCAGAAGUUAACCUUAGGUAUCAUUCAUCUUGUUUUUGAGACAGUCUUUUCUUGAGAUCUGAGGCUUGCCUAUUAGGCCGGCCAGGAGCUCCUGGGGUUCUCCUGCCUCUGCCUCCCCAACACAGGAUUGCACUCACACUGCACACCCUGUAUGAGGUUGUACACACACACACACACACACACACACACACACACACGCACACACACACUGCACACCCGCUUUGUAUGUAGGUCCUGGAUUAGACUCUGGCCCUAAUGUUUGUGUCACAAAACUUUGACAACUGAGCUAUCGCCCUAGCUCCUGGGUUUUGAGGUAGAAUCUUCUCAAGCCUAGGCUGACCUUGAACUCAUGACAGUCUGCCUGCCUCAGCUUUCAAAUGCUG